CUACUAGGAGGCCUCACUCUGAGUAAUAUCAAAGUUUUUUCCCACAAGAACCGCUCGGAGAUGCCCGGACUCAGUUUUUAUUUUCGUCCCAAUACUUUUCUUCCAAUGGACUAGUUGUGUUUCUUUGAUCUUGUGCAACCUCUUUAGGCCGAUGAUAGCCCGCGGAUAGGUGUGGAAACCCAUCUAUAUUGCACCCAGUAUGACACAGAAAAAAGCCCAGGGCCUAGGGGUCGGGUGGGGCUCGUUCGGGGUGCACAACGGUUGCGCCAAAAACGGUCCAAAAAUGGCCAAGGCUUUACCAUACCGAAAAUCGGCCGAUUUUUAACCAUGUGAGAAACGUCCCGAAAAUUCACAGAUAACUACUAGGAGGCCUCACUCUGAGUAAUAUUAAAGUUUUUUCCCACAAGAACCGCUCGGAGAUGCCCAGACUCAGUUUUUAUUUUCGUCCCAAUGCUUUUCUUCCCAUGGACUAGUUUUGUUUCUUUGAUCUUGUGCAACCUAUUUAGGCCGAUGAUAGCCCGCGGAUAGGUGUGGAAACCCAUCUAUAUUGCACCCAGUAUGACACAGAAAAAAAGCCCAGGGCCUAGGGGUCGGGUGGGGCUCGUUCGGGGUGCACAACGGUUGCGCCAAAAACGGUCCAAAAAUGGCCAAGGCUUUACCAUACCGAAAAUCGGCCGAUUUUUAACCAUGUGAGAAACGUCCCGAAAAUUCACAGAUAACUACUAGGAGGCCUCACUCUGAGUAAUAUUAAAGUUUUCUCCCACAAGAACCGCUCGGAGAUGCCCAGACUCAGUUUUUAUUUUCGUCCCAAUACUUUUCUUCCCAUGGACUAGUUGUGUUUCUUUGAUCUUGUGCAACCUAUUUAGGCCGAUGAUAGCCCGCGGAUAGGUGUGGAAACCCAUCUAUAUUGCACCCAGUAUGACACAGAAAAAAAGCCCAGGGCCUAGGGGUCGGGUGGGGCUCGUUCGGGGUGCACAACGGUUGCGCCAAAAACGGUCCAAAAAUGGCCAAGGCUUUACCAUACGAAAAAUCGGCCGAUUUUUAACCAUGUGAGAAACGUCCCGAAAAUUCACAGAUAACUACUAGGAGGCCUCACUCUGAGUAAUAUCAAAGUUUUUCCCACAAGAACCGCUCGGAGAUGCCCGGACUCAGUUUUUAUUUUCGUCCCAAUACUUUUCUUCCAAUGGACUAGUUGUGUUUCUUUGAUCUUGUGCAACCUAUUUAGGCCGAUGAUAGCCCGCGGAUAGGUGUGGAAACCCAUCUAUAUUGCACCCAGUAUGACACAGAAAAAAAGCCCAGGGCCUAGGGGUCGGGUGGGGCUCGUUCGGGGUGCACAACGGUUGCGCCAAAAACGGUCCAAAAAUGGCCAAGGCUUUACCAUACCGAAAAUCGGCCGAUUUUUAACCAUGUGAGAAACGUCCCGAAAAUUCACAGAUAACUACUAGGAGGCCUCACUCUGAGUAAUAUUAAAGUUUUCUCCCACAAGAACCGCUCGGAGAUGCCCAGACUCAGUUUUUAUUUUCGUCCCAAUGCUUUUCUUCCCAUGGACUAGUUUUGUUUCUUUGAUCUUGUGCAACCUAUUUAGGCCGAUGAUAGCCCGCGGAUAGGUGUGGAAACCCAUCUAUAUUGCACCCAGUAUGACACAGAAAAAAGCCCAGGGCCUAGGGGUCGGGUGGGGCUCGUUCGGGGUGCACAACGGUUGCGCCAAAAACGGUCCAAAAAUGGCCAAGGCUUUACCAUACCGAAAAUCGGCCGAUUUUUAACCAUGUGAGAAACGUCCCGAAAAUUCACAGAUAACUACUAGGAGGCCUCACUCUGAGUAAUAUCAAAGUUUUUCCCACAAGAA
rnacentral:lncRNA from 1 species